CGGCUGAGUAACACGUGGGCAACCUGCCCCCCGCACCGGGACAGCCUCGGGAAACCGUGGGUAAUACCGGGUACUCCGCCACCCCCGCAUGGGGGAGGCGGGAGAGCGUAUGCGGCGGGGGAUGGGCCCGCGGCCUGUUAGCUAGUUGGCGGGGCAACGGCCCACCAAGGCGAUUAUGGGUAGCUGGGUUGAGAGACCGACCAGCCAGAUUGGGACUGAGACACGGCCCAGACUCCUACGGGAGGCAGCAGUGGGGAAUCUUGCGCAAUGGGGGCAACCCUGACGCAGCGACGCCGCGUGCGGGACGAAGGCCUUCGGGUCGUAAACCGCUUUCAGCAGGGACGAGGCCGCGAGGUGACGGUACCUGCAGAAGAAGCCCCGGCUAACUACGUGCCAGCAGCCGCGGUAAUACGUAGGGGGCGAGCGUUAUCCGGAUUCAUUGGGCGUAAAGCGCUCGUAGGCUGCCCGCUAGGUCCGGGGUCAAAUCCGGGGGCUCAACCCCCGCACGCCCCGGAUACCGGCGGGCUUGAGUCGGGUAGGGGAAGGCGGAAUUCCAGGUGUAGCGGUGGAAUGCGCAAAUAUCUGGAAGAACACCGGUGGCGAAGGCGGCCUUCUGGGCCUCGACUGACGCUGAGGAGCGAAAGCUGGGGGAGCGAACAGGAUUAGAUACCCUGGUAGUCCCAGCCGUAAACGAUGGACGCUAGGUGUGGGGGGAGAUGCCCUCCGUGCCGCAGCCAACGCAUUAAGCGUUCCGCCUGGGGAAGUACGG
rnacentral:rRNA from 1 species